rnacentral:lncRNA from 1 species
GCGGCCUAAUCUUGGAGAACAGAUUAACCUACAUUUUCAGGCAGCUGCGAGUGAGAGAUCAAACUUGUUCAGCAUUUUAGCCCACUGAAGCCAAAAGAUGUUAUCCUAUCCCCCCAAAGAGUCAAGAAAUCCAUCAGAAACAGAAGACGUUGGAUUCUCCAAUGUGUAAUAUGCUCGCACUGCCUGCUGCUUUAUAAUUUACAUCAUAGGAGUUCACAUUCUGAGCUUGACCUCGACGCUGCUGCUGGAUGGGUUUUCAGGAGUGAGCUCCAUGCUUGCAGUAGCGGUGUCAUGUCGGUGUUUCAAGGAGGACCUUUUUCCCUCUUCUCCUGCCAUGGAGUGCUUGAGAGCUGCAGAGCUUUUUGCUUCUUGGCCUGUUUGUGACUGGGUGAGAGAGAGACAGGAAAGAUAAGGAUUUGACUGCAUUUGGGUCUCUGAAAUGACCAAGAGGUUGAG